AGCCACGCAGUUAGCACAGAAUGGACUAUUCUUUCACCUUUUACUAAAGAAUACCGUGUGCAUGCUGCAAAUAGUAGCAUACGCCUAUUUUUGGAGGGGUUCUCUCUAUUGAGUGUC